GCGGUUGUGGCGAAGUGGUUAACGCCCCGGAUUGUGGCUCCGGUAUUCGCGGGUUCGAUUCCCGUCAAUCGCC
rnacentral:tRNA from 2 species